AAGAGUUCGUUUGGGCCAAAAGCCCAAUUCCCUCACAUCCAUAUCCGGAUUCUAACAAGCAUUUCCCCUAAUCUAACAGUUUCAUGCUCAAAACUUCUCAGGUCCACACGCGAGGACUCCUUCAUGGCACAGAACUUCACAUCUGAACUCUUCGUUUCAUUCAUCAUCGACGCGCAUCAACAAUCAAUCGAUCAAACCAAAAUCGAGAAAACGAUUUCAUCCCCAACAAAGAAACAAGAACGUAAUUGGAUCCGCGUGGGAUUUCGACAUCGAAACGCAAUCAUCAAACUUUAAUUCGAAUCGAAUUUGUGCGCGAGAUAAUAGCGAUUGGGGCUGGGAGACGUACCAGAUUCGUACCUUGCGCGGGGGAGGUAAUGGUGAAUCGUCGAUGUUGUUCACCGCGCCAAUUUGCGCCGUCGCUGAGUGACGAUGAAGGACGAAGACGAGUGAAGAUCGGAUGGAUUCACGGUUGAAGCGACGAGUCGGCUUUGGCCUCCGUGGUGCGAUGAAGACUUUGUGACGACGAGUAGAAGAAUGAGAAGCGCCAGACGAACACCGUCGAAUCGUGAAAAGGUGAAAUCACGCUUCCGUUUUCUGAAUCGCAAAUGCUUUCUUUGUAAGAUUUGCUGGACGAAGAAUAUGAAGUUUGAUUAGAUGAGGAAUAUUAAGUUCUGAUGGAUGAAGUUGUUGGCGCGUGUGCGAUGAAGACCGUCCACCGUUGAUGACGGCGACAUACCCUGUUCCGGUGGUUUUAGUGUGCUGCUAGAGUUGGCUUUUGUUGUGCAGAUUUCAAUUGCCUUUUCAAUGUCACAGCUUGGAACGUUGUUGGUAGUCGAUUUUGCAGAUUUUCUGUUGGGAUUGGCCUUGGGAUGUUUGUCGUUUCUAGUCGGAUUCGCGUUUUUGCAUUGCCGGCGUUGGUUGCACAGCGUCUCAAUUGCCAUAUCAUUGUGCUGUUUCACGUUUCAGCUUGUGGCUGCGUUCAUUAUGAGCUGCGUUUUGUUGCAGCUGGUAUGCUUUGGUGCGAUAGAUUGCUGCGUUUUAGCUUGCCUUCGGUAGCCUGUUUUGGCAGCAACUUUUGCUUCUUUUCACAUUAGCUUAUGAAUGGUUUAUGUUAUAGAUUUGAUUUUUUAAAGAGAAUGGACAUGGAAAUGAUAUGGGAUUUGUUUUUGUUGGAUAAUUAUUUUGAUUGAAUGAACUCACAUAAUGGGUUAUGGAUA